rnacentral:rRNA from 1 species
AGAGCGAACGCUGGCGGCAGGCCUAAUACAUGCAAGUCGAGCGCACCUUCGGGUGAGCGGCGGACGGGUGAGUAACGCGUGGGAACGUGCCCUUUGGUACGGAACAACUGAGGGAAACUUCAGCUAAUACCGUAUGUGCCCUUCGGGGGAAAGAUUUAUCGCCAUUGGAGCGGCCCGCGUUGGAUUAGCUAGUUGGUGGGGUAAAAGCUCACCAAGGCUACGAUCCAUAGCUGGUCUGAGAGGAUGAUCAGCCACACUGGGACUGAGACACGGCCCAGACUCCUACGGGAGGCAGCAGUAGGGAAUCUUGCGCAAUGGGCGAAAGCCUGACGCAGCCAUGCCGCGUGAAUGAUGAAGGUCUUAGGAUUGUAAAAUUCUUUACACCGGGGAAGAUAAUGACGGUACCGGAGAAGAACGCCCGGCUAACUUCGUGCCAGCAGCCGC